UGGAGGGCGAGGAGAGGGAGAGGCGGAGGGGGAGAAGAGGUGAUGAGUGGGAGGAAAGAAAUGGUCGAUGGAGAUUGAGACUGGGAUUGAAGUUGGAGAGGGAGGCGGUGAAGUAGCAGGCGGCGAUGGCCAUGAUAGGAGAAGAGGUGGGUGGGAGGUGGAGGCGUGUUUUUCGAUUGGGUUUAUAAAGGUGGUUAGGUUGGUCGUUUAUGUAGUAGAGCACAAAUU
rnacentral:misc_RNA from 1 species